ncrna:unclassified sequences L4-Archaeoglobi ribosomal protein leader
CUGAUGGCGGCGUAUGGGUGGAAAUCGGAAUCAAUCGCCCAAUUCCCCUUCGCACCGGAGAAAAGUAUCCGGUAGGGCAACGCCUAAACGUCAG